UACGGAGGAUGCGAGCGUUAUCCGGAUUUAUUGGGUUUAAAGGGUGCGUAGGCGGCUUUUUAAGUCAGCGGUGAAAUUUUGCAGCUUAACUGUAACAGUGCCGUUGAUACUGGUUUCUUGAGUGUGGAUGAAGUAGGCGGAAUUUGUGGUGUAGCGGUGAAAUGCAUAGAUAUCACGAGGAACUCCGAUUGCGCAGGCAGCUUACUAAACCAUAACUGACGCUCAGGCACGAAGGCGUGGGGAUCAAACAGGAUUAGAUACCCCGGUAGU
rnacentral:rRNA from 1 species